AUCAUCCCUAUUAUAUAGGAGUCAAGAUUAUAUGCAGACAGUGAGGGGGGGCAAAAUGAGUGAAACAAAAAAAAAUUAGAAUAUAUUGUAGGGGAAGAGAUAAUAAAUCAGCGAUAUGUAAACUUAAUUUUUGCUUAAACUAAUUUGAAGUCGUAAUUGUUUUUUUUAAAUGAAAAGUGGAAAUAUGUUAAAGUUAAGCGUCGCUAAGACUUGGAUUAAUUAUAUUUAUAAUUUAGAUUAUCUGUUUAUCCUGGGCUAGUAGAUUCUAUUAAGAGCUAUUUGAUUUCUAUUAUACAGCUCUUUCCUAGUUUAUCUACUAAAUGACUCUCUAUACACAGAAGCACACUUAUUUUGUUUCAGGAGCUUCAAAAAUGAUAGGGGACCAGGAAACAGCAGGCACUGGUACAAAGGGAACUAAUUCAGGGAACCAGGUGAGGUGAAAUGGGCCCCACAGCCAACUGAGAAUCAAAUUCUACUGCAUGCCAGGACUGAGUAAGAUGAAUAUGUAAGGACAACUAGAAGCCGAUUUGUCCCCCCCUUUUUUUUUAGGGCAGCACCCUUGGCAUAUGGAGGUUCUCAGGCUAGUGGUCGAAUCUGAGCUACAGCCACAGCAACUCGGGAUCCACACCUUGUCUGAGACCUACACCACAGCUCACAGCAACACCAUUGAGAGAGGCCAGGGAUCGAACCUGCAUCCUCACAGAUACUGGUCAGAUUCGUUUCCACUGAGCCAUGAUGGGAACUCCUGGAAGCCAGAUUUGAAUUACCAAAGAAGUCCUUCCUAACCAUUGGACCUGUUGGAGGGAACUUCCUUAUAUCAUGGUAAAUAGAAAUAUGCAAACAAGAGCUAGACAUCAUGUCUUUGUGAUACUUUAGAGGAUAUUUCUAUGCUGAAUGGUAUUGAGUGAUGACCUUUAAGUUUCCCUAAGGAUUCUAAGAUUCUAGAAUUGGAAUCUCACAAGAAGUUGUUAGAAUAAGGCUACUUGGAGUUUUUUCAUUAAAUGCAGAAUCUCAACCAAGAGACACUGAUUUAAUUUUUUUUUAUGUUUUCAAUCCCCACUUUCUUUGUGAUCCUUGCUAAUUGCUUAUUCUUAGUAAUCUAGUUUAAAUGUUUUUCAUAUGGCUUCUCAACUUCACAUCUAGGGAUAAAAUGAAUGAUAGACUUAAAAUUUUAAAGCUGGAGCAAGCCUUAAAAAUAACACAGGAAUUAAAACUGAGGUCCAGAGAGGCCAAGUGGGUUGCCCACGUGAGUUUUCAUGGUGCACAGAAAUUCCCUGGACUUCCAGCACUGUCUACUAUACAUACGCAUAUCUAAUUUAUUUCAGUACCUUUGGAGCAUGUUUGAUGACCAGGAGCAUGCAUCAAUAUGAACUUUUACAAUGCAGUCUAAAAUGAAAUUUAUUUUAGCAGUUUCUUCUUCAUACAAAGCUUUUAACACUGACUUUUGAAAAAAAAAGUCCCUUACAUUUUACUGAAAAAGCAAUCAAUAGAUUCAUAGUGCCUUCAAAUAAUGGUGUUGAUAGAAUGUUUUCAUUUGCAAUAGACUAAUUAAAUUAUUGAUUUUAUCACUAUAACUUGGCUUAUGUCAGCAAAAUUGGUACAGUCUGCUGCGUUAAACUGCGUUUGAGAAGUGCAUCUUCUUUUUUUCUGGUUUACUGAUUCAGAAUACAAGAAUCCUCAGCCUCAUGUCAACUUUUCCUGACUUUGCUUGCAGACCACACUGGUGCCAGACGGCUCUGGUGCCACCAUGAGAAUCUGAUUAGAAUGCAAAAGCUACAUAGUAUCUAGUUAUGCUAGAUCAAUAUUAGAACUGGAAGGGGCAAUUUUAGUAUGAGCCCAGUAUUUUCUCCUUCCCUUGACUGACCAUGGAGGCACAGAUGAUGCUUCAAAGUGACUAAUGGCUGGGUAAAUAUUAAGUCUGUUAUCAAGCCAGUGAAGGGUUAUGUGAUAAUCUUUGAGUCACUCAAGCCCUCUGGGUCUUGGUUUUAACAUCUGAAAACUGAGGGAAAUUGGACUCUAUGAUAGCCAAGGAUCUUCUAGCCUAAAAUUAUAUUAAUGAACCUGCAAUAGCCCCUGGGGUGUACUGAUAACCAGAAAUUAUAUGGGCAGCCGCCAGACAGCACACAUAGCUAAAUGGACUUGUAUAUUUCAUUAUUAUUUAAUCUCCUUCUUUCUAAGGUUUCUAACCUCACUCCAAUCACUGGGGAAAACUGAGUAUAUUGGGAAUAACCUCAGGAUGCCAUAUGGUGGGACUGAAGGAGAAUAUGGCUGUUAGUUUCUAAAUACACUGAGUGGAAUGGUUCUUCAAAUUUUAUGGCUUAACCUUUUGAGAAUUUGAUGGAAAUUAUACACUGUACCUUCACACAACCACUCAAACCUUGCUUUAAUUUCAGGAUGCUCACGUUCCUCUCUAGAGCCAACUCUGUCCUCUUUGAAAUGUCUUUGAUUUGAUGAAUGGUAUAUAUAUGGUGAGUUUUUCAUAGCAAUAUCAUGAUGUGAUAGAUUAGACUUUAGAGCUUUGCUGCACAGAGCUCUGAGAUACAAGGUAAGAUGGUUAAUCACUGGGGGUUUAUUUGUACCCAUCAAGUAAAAAGAUAAGUCCUUCCUCACAAGAUUUGGGUUAUGUGAGGGAAUAAUAAUAUUGCCUAACACCAUGCUUGAUACAUCAACAAAUCUAUUUUCUGCUGCCUUUAUAUGGGGCUAGUUUAUAUUUUAGGUGAAAGUUUUGGAAGAGCCACUAAUGAAAAUUUAGAAACAUAAAGGCCUAAGUGUUGAAAGGUAGUUCUAAUGGCUCAUGAAAUUGUUAACUCUUAGACCCUAAGUUCUAUAACUUGAGAUAUUGGAAAACUGGAGGGAGGACUUUAGGGCAUUUUCAGAGUCCCACCAUGAGGUAUGUCCCUGAUACACAGCUUCUUCCAGACCACACACUGCCUUGAACACGAGCUGGAUCUCCUUUAUUCAUUAAGCCCCAUUUAUCCCGUAGUUUCCACCCUUAAUGCCUUACUCCCUCCUUAACUUAUUGGAGUUAAAGUGUUGACAGUGGAUAAUAAAAUACUCCCUACCACACCUCCAACUUUUUAACUGCUCCCUUUAGUACUUGUUACCCAAAGAAAUGACCAAUUACAUGAAACGGCCCAAUUCCUUACUUCUCAAUUGUUGCUUGACAUGCACCUGUGGGCAUCCAGUAGUUUAUACUUUGGGAAAUGGAAAAUGAGAAUUGGUCAGAGCAGAAUGCAUACUAUUUCAGACAUGUCUCUUCCUGUUGUUGGGUUGGAAUGAGAGUUAAAAAAGAAAAGCAGUUUGUUUGUUUUUUUAUGAUUUUUGUUUUUUCCUUUAUAGCUGGUUUACAGUGUUUUGUCAAUUUCCCACUGUACAGCAUGGUGACCCAGUUACAUGCACAUGUAUACAUUCUUUUUCUCACAUUAUCGUGCUCCAUCAUAAGUGACCAGACAUAGUUCACAGUGCUACACAGCAGAAUCUCAUUGCUGAUCUGUUCCAAAGGUGAUAGUCUGCGGCCCUAAAAAAGAAUGAAAUAAUGCCAUUUGCAGCAACAGGAUGGGAGUAGAGACUCUCAUACUGAGUGAAGUAAGUCUGAAAGAGAAAGACAAAUACCAUAUGAUAUCAAUUACAUCUGGAAUCUAAUAUAUGCAAAUGAACCUUUCCACAGAAAAGAAAAUCAUGGUCUUGGUGAAUAGACUUAAGAAAAACAGUUUUAACUCCUGUUUAUAAAAAACAUUAGUGAAGUGCUGAGGGGAUGUGUACUAUUUGCAUCCUUCCUAUUUAAUAUUUUAUUGCUCUAAGGCAUGAGAAAGAGUAGCAGUGGCAGAGAGAACCUGGGGCAGAUCUGAUCAGGCUUCCCUCUUACUGUUUCUCUUCUAGUACUUCUUACUCUAAGAAAGAGAAUACUUUCUGUAUAGAUUCCCCCUUAUCAAGUUGAGUGAGCCCACACUCUUGAGUUGUGCAGGAGUAAAAAGUUACACAAACAGUGGCAUUGAAGGCUACCUGAGGACUUGGGUUCUGGUAUGACUGUCUGCACCAUAGACAGCACACAAGGUCAAAGAACCAGGAGAGGGAGGAUCAUGGGCCCAGUCAUAGGGACUCUGAUUGAGGAAAGUGGAUCUUCACAGUGGAUUGGCUGGUAGAAAGCUCAGGACCUCUACACCGUAUACAAACUUAAUGUUCUGUUAUUUGUACCCAGGGAUACAGAUGAUAAAGUUUUACAAAUCAAUGUGUUUUUUCCUCUAUCCCCCCUUACCUGUGUUUGUAGGAACUUGUUAUCAUGAGAACUAGAGGGAGGGAGGCAGCACACAAAUUUUUCCAGGAAAGAUGUCCAAGAAAGCCACAUUUUCUGAAAGUAGGGACCUGGAACUCAUGAAAGAGUAUCCUGAUGUGGAUAUUGUACAAAAAAAGAAAUUACAUGUUCUGCCUGGCUUCUGGUUGCCAGGGCCCUGUCUCCCAGGCUCUUGGGAAUCCCAAAGGCCAGUGGUGGCUUGGCCUAAUGGGCUUGUUUGGUGGAUCCAGCUGUACCCUGGAUCUAGCAGUUUUUUCCUUUGAUCAAACCUUUGCCUUGUGAAAAUAAAGAAGUAAAUAGCCCAGUUCCAGAAGCUAGAAGCACAUCUUUUCCCCUGAUUCAAGGAAGAGGAAUUCUCCCUUGUCUUCUCUGAAUCUGAACCUCUGCUGUCUUCUGGGGUCUGGUCUCUGCUUCACCACCCUUUGCCUCAAGCCCCAGAGCCCCGCCUUGAAUCCAGUGCAUCUGAAUACUCUCUUCUCAAUAUCCUGCACAGGGGUGGGUAAGUGUGAGUGGUAAAUGCAUCUUAUUUCUAGCUGUUCAUUAGCUUUGUUUCUUUGCUGCUUAUUGUCAUGGAAAAGUAUAAGCUACCCCACCUGAAGUGUUUAACCUUCUAACAAAGCUUCCAGCUUUAAUGCAGAUUGAUCCCAUUUGAAAAUUCUCUGUGCCAAGUGCCCUUUUUUUUACUGAGGUAGCCGGAUUUUUAUUGCCAGAAUACCUUCAUCAUACUGACUCAUUUUUGUAACUUCCGUUCUUAUAACUAUUAAAUUUUCUACCAAUAAAACUUUAGUUUUUUUUAUUUUUUCAUGCUUUUUGAUAGACCAGUUCAUUCUGUGUUACAUUGGCUAUUUCUGAGAUUUGGGGUCAUCAAGACAUAUGUGACACACAUGUAUUUUGGACCUAGGCUGGCAUUUUCAUUUAGAGACAAGACAAGGAAGAUGCAAUACUAUAAUGGAUAAGCAAUGAGGUCCUACUGUACAGCGCAGGGAACUAUAUCCAGUCUCUUGGAGAGACCGUGAUGGAUGAUAGUAUGAAGAAAGGAAUGUAUACACACAUAUACACAUACACACACAACUGAGUCAUUUUGCUGUAUAGCAGAAAUUGGCACAACACUGUAAAUCAGCUAUACUUUAAUAAAAAUAAAGAAAUGGAAUUUUUCCCUAGUAUACUUGAACUUUGAACUAAUAUUUGAGUACGGGUAGGACUCAAAUAUUAUUAGCCAGUUACUUCAGUCAUUUAAAUACCAAAGUUUUGUGUAUCCUUUGCUACUUUUUGUUCAACAAAAAUUGGGGCAAACAUUUUCUUUGAAAAGAGGUGGUCCUUGUUACCUAUCAAAAGAUUCCUGGUGACAUGUCUCUGAUGCAGAAAAAUACUAAUAUGAAUACUGGCAAAUUAUUGUUCUCAAACCUGAAUGAUAAGUAUUAGUUUUGUUUUCUAUUCCUCAUAAUUCGAUGCACUUCUGAGAAGUUUGGGGAAAGAAACCCACACAUUGCAUUUAAAAGUGAAAAAUGACAAUCAGUAAUUAUUUCUCUUGCAUCUCUUGUGCACAGACUUGACUUAUAUAGUUAGCUAAUGCUUCUCUGUUUAAUAUAACAAGUUAAAAGUGAAAAGAGAGAUAUCUGACUCCAUUUAUUUUUCAAAAACCAAUUUUUAAACUUGUGUAAGUUCAAAUUCUUGUGAAAUGCUCCCUCAUUUUGAAACCUUAUCUCUGGCUUCAAGCAUUUUUCCUUUAGGCAAAUUUAGGACAUCAGCCAGCAUGAGAGAAGGGAUAAUUCAGGCAAGUAAACUCAUUGAUACCCAAGAAAUGAAACUACUUGCUUUUCCUACAGAUAGUACUGAUGCCACCCACCUCUGAGCUGGCUGUCUGCCUUUGAAAUUAUCAACCUCAGCAAUACAGCAGAGUCCCUAAAAUUGGUCUCGCCUGUGUACCAUCCUUAAAGUAUAUAUGGGAAAUUUCCAGUGAACUUUGGAAACUACCAGAUGAGAAUACUCAUUUUUAAUUUUGUUAUUAAUGUCAGGAUGUCAAUAAGGAGUCUUUCUCCUCAUUGGGCCCAACAUGAUACCAACCUUGUCAUCUUAUUAUGUGUUCCUACCCAGCACUCUUUUUCAUUCUCCAUGGCAAUAUCAAACCUUCACAUUCCCAGUGUAUUUCUCAACCCUGUCUACACGGAUAACCUUACUUCCUUCUUCAAAAAGAAAAUCAGGAGUUCCCGUUGUGACACAGCGGAAACGAAUCCGACUGGGAACCAUGCGGUUGGGGGUUCGAUCCCUGGCCUAGCUCAGUGGGUUAAGGAUCCGGCAUUUCCAUGAGCUGUGGUGUAGGUUGCAGACA
rnacentral:lncRNA from 1 species